rnacentral:misc_RNA from 1 species
GCCUCCAUAUCCUCUCAUAAUUAUUAAGGGCACUAUAAUCAAUGUGGCUACUGGAGCUGUUCAGGAGGUCUUCUACUCUGGAGCCUAAGGUCAGAAACCCAGAUCAGUUCAUCGCAAAAAGCUCCAUUAGAAGCUCUGGCACAAGAAUUGCCAGCAAAUUCAAUUCGGUUUUCUCCAAGCUCACCGCUAUUGAAAAGCGAGAACUUGGAGGUGCUUCCAUUGUUGUUCAUUUGGAAGAUGAAACUACUAUCAAAUCAAAGGUACAAGUGAAAACAAUUUAGUUCAUUUGUGUCCCAAAUUGCAGGACAGCAAGAGUUAAACCCUGAUCAUUUUGAAACCCUGAUCAUUUUGUCCCCUUUUAAGAAUUUUAUGCAGAGGAAAGAUAACCUUUUGUGAUUGCAGGUUUUGACAGGCUGUGCUGGGGUGCACUUGGUGGCGGCAAAUUGGCUAGGACUCUCUGCACCAGUUCAUUCUGGUGGAUUGGCGGUUUUUCAACAAGGCCAUGGGUUUAGCACAAACUGAAGCAGUUCUUGUAUGCUGGCAAAAUGGCUGGUUUCAUCCCUCAAAAUGACAGAUUUAUUGUGCAUUAACUUGCCCUGAAGGAGAAAAUAGGGUUUUUUCUAAGUAAGUGGAUAUGGAAAAAAACAUAAACACACAAAGGGUGACUUACAAAAUAUUUACUAAAGAGAUGUUUUUCCCUAGGUAGGAGCUUGGAUGCUUAGCAUCCUGCUGAAGUGGAUAGCUUGCUUCUUUUGAAGCUUUAUAUGCAUUUUUUUUUUGUGGGUCCACGCUCUCCAAAUCAGCAACACUACUAUAAGUAGCGUCUAAACAGUUUUUUGUCUUUAUCUUUUUCCACCUGACAAAAAGCAGCACUUUUGUAAAUAUUUUGUAAGUCAGUGUUUAUUUUUUCAAGUCCACCUGUUUGGAAAAAAAAACUGAUAAAACUUUGCACGAGACACACUCAAGCCAAAACUAAUACAAAAACAUGUGAUUGACAAGUAUGCAAAGAAUUAUCCCUCGCAGUACUAAGACGUGGUUCAACAUGACAUCGAUGGAAUUUCAUAUCUGGAAAUCUAAGGAAACAUCACAGUGGUUGGCGAUGCUAUGCAUCCAAUGACACCUGAUCUGGGAUAAGGUGGGUGUUGAGCUCUAGAUGAUGUAGUUGUACUUGUAUUGGGCAGACACAAUCGGGAAUUCUUUAUGAAAAAACAGAGGACUAUUUUUUCCAAAGAACGUGGCUCAAGCAAUGGGUGGGUAUGUGAAAGAAAGAAGGUGGAGAGCUGCUUGACUGAUCAAGGUGGGUGCAACAAGGCGGUUCUCAACGGUGGAUGGAAUUUGUAAGGGAUGCAAUUUUCUAUGGACUCCUCGUCACUAUUGUCUUUAAUGCUUGAUUGUGGGACACUGCCUAGUGCCUGGCAUCUCUGCCUCUGGCUUCCUCCAAUAAAUCAAACUAGCAAAAUUGUCUAUAGGAUCUUAUUUGUAUCUCAGUUCAGUUGGGUUAGUCCAAAAACAGAAAUAGGUUAGAACAAUUGUUUUCAUUUUUAAUUUUUUACUCGUGUAAAAAUGAGGCUAUGCACUCACAGGUCUAGUUCUUAUUAUUCGAAAUUAAAAAUUUUAAUUCCUAUUAUUAGUUAAUGACUCUACACUUCACUUUUUCAUAUAAAAUAAUGAAUUUAUUAUUAAACUUUAAUUCCUAAAUUAAAAUUUUAAAACAAAAAAUAAAGAUUCCAAAAGACAUCCAGACAGCAGUUCUAGCAAAGAUAUGACUUUAAAGUUUUUAGGCAUUAGACCAACAGCUAAUUUAUAUGAAUAUAAACAUCAAUCUAAGACUCCUUAACUAAGAGGUACUGCAUAAUAUUUUUGAUAACCCUGCAACUAAAACUUUCCCAAAAGAACCAAUUCCACAAAUGAUGAGAACAACUGUUUUUGAGAAAUCAACAUAACCCAGAUUAAACCACACGAUUUUAUGAAUUGUACAACACAUUUCUUAGAGCAUUUCAAUUAUUAAAACAGAUUGAACACAACAGGGAAAAUCAAAUCCCUUAAACAAUUCAGUUUUUGCUGAAUACUUGCAGAAAUGAUCUACUUGAAUAAAGUUGAAGCCUGAUCUUUUCUAGAAAUUAGCAUGCCAAAUAAUUGCAUAACUUCUUAAAGGUACAACCAUUUUUUACCUCCACCAAUGCUAUAUCCAAUAAGCAUUUAAAUAGUCAGGACACAGAAAUAAAAUAGAAAAAUAAGCAGCGUACCAGUAAGUGGAAAAAGUUGGUACUUGGUGAUGUAAUAGCUGGAAAACACAGCAACAUCACCCCUUCUAGAUGCAAGUGAAACAAAUUCACAAAAUGAAGGGCAUAAAGCAUCCAACCCAAGACAGAAAGCAGCUGCUGUGUUACUCUCGUAAGCAUUUGUUCACAAAUCUGCCAAGGAUACUAGAGGAAGAAGAAAUUGUUCAGUAAUUUUGGGUGCCUAUUAUUGAAUCACUGGCAACCAAUCAUUGUUAUUCCUACAAAUUUUCCAAAUCUCUCAAGCCCACUGGAUCGUGAGUCAUCAGAGCAUCUGUUGCAAAGUGAGCUCACACUAACUGCCAUGAGUGCUGAACAUUGCUACAUGAUCCUCCGUCAUUUGAUUCCUGUGUGGUUGUAGAGAUAAGGAAAGCCACUGUUUCCCCUGAUGCUCACAAGUAUUGAAUGGCGUUGGAGGCUCAAGGUGCCACUCAGUGCAGUUUUUAGCUAUUUGAGACUCUUCAGUCGUCCUUUUCUUCAACUUCAAGUUCAAAUCAAGAUCGAGUUCCAAGUCAUUAUCACAACUUCUCUUGAGAUCAAAUGACGUUGACUCCAUUUGACGACUUACAGAUUGGCUAACACUUGGAUCCUCCACUACCUCAUCUUGCUUGUAAACCAGAUAGACCCCGCAACUUUUCAGGAUUGAACCAAUUGAUACUCCAAGGACUUUAAAUGAAACCUCAAAGUGAGACAAACCGUCGUGCUUCAAAUGCAAGCCCUUAAUAAAACGACGUGGAAGAUAGUACAACCACAUAUGAUCCGACUCCAAUGAAAAGAACUGUCUUGAAAACAUUAUCACAUUUUGACCAUUUAUGAAAACUUCACGUGAUAUGUUUGCUAUCUCUCCAUCCUUUAAACUUAGAAUGGCACAAAGAACUAAAGCUAUGAUUUUCUUACACUUUUGUGAUGGUACUUGGAAAGAUAAUGAAUCCUUUUCACUACGAUAGCUGAACCACUCUGGAAUCUCACUUCCAGGAAGAAAUAUUUCAAUUCGAUUGUCCUGACGAAAUUUCUUGCUCAGUAAUGACUUCUCCAAAAAUUUGCCCUCAUUUUCAGCAAGUUUGUGGCAGUUGGAGAAGUCAAUAUCAUGAAGUCUGAUUGGUCUCUCCUCUUUAUUACAUUUAAAUAACCUUUGCAACUGUGAAAAUCUUUCCAGUGAUCCACAAUCUCUUGCUUCUACUUUCUUCAUGCUCAUUGGAAGCUCUGGAAUUUCUUGGACCUUCUUACAGUUGGAUAAUUUGAGGCUCCUCAAGUUUUUCAGUUGGUGAAUACUUGGUGGAAGACUAGCAAAAUCAUUACCUGACAGAUCCAAAUCCCUCAAAUUGGAAAAGCAAUGAUGCUCCGUUAGGAAAUUGAUUCCCAGUAGAUUGCAGUUUCGUAGAUCCAGAAACCUUAACAUAGGAAAUCCUACUAAAAAUUGUCCAUUACAAGUUCCUGGAAACUCAUCAAGUCUUGAGCAACCUUCAAGAAGUAGAUGCUUAAGAUGCCUCAACUUAUAAAGACCAGUUGGAAGAUUGGUGAGGUUUUUGCAAUAUGACAAAGUUAAGACUCUAAGCCCAGUGAGAUUUUCAAUAGAUGAAGGAAGAACUUUUAUUGCUGUCCCAUUUAGACAAACUUUAUCCAGCCAUUUUAUCUCUUCCACAAUAUCUGGAAAUGCCUCGAGUUUUAUGCAACCAGUAAGCAGAAGUGUUCGAAGAGAUCUCAGUUUGAACCUCGUAGGAAGACUUUUCAGGUUAAAGCAGAACUCAAAGCUCAAAAAUUCAAGUUUAUCAAGAUACCCAACAGACUGAUGAACCUCAACUAAAUUUGAACAACCUCGAAGAUUCAACCUUUCAAGAUUUGGGACGAAUGAGAAGUCUGGUGUUUCUAUUAGGGAUUCACAAUCUCUCAAAUCCAUGAAUUUCAAGUACUUAUAAUUCUUGAAUCCUUCCCCAAAUUGCCUGAUGUAGCUACGAUGCAUGUUAAGUCCAACAAGUUUUCUUUUACCAAAUCCAGAUGGCAUUGAUGUCAAUGGACAUGCAGGCCAUUCAAGCCACCUUAACUCAUUAGGGAGAUCCACAGCACUUCCAGUAAUACAAGCAUUGCGGAUUAGUAGUAUUCGGAGUCUUUUCAUUUUCAUAAAUGCUUCAGCACUCAACUGUAUCUCUUCAGAUUCAGGUAAGUCCAGUAAAAUGCCUUCAAUGUCAUCUGUUCCCAUAUUUCCUUCCAGAACAUCAAGAACAUCCUCAUGAAACCACAAUCUGCUACGCCCAUAAGGUUUGGAAGACUGCUGGCGAACAACUUGCUUGCCCAUUGAUUGUAGUAAAGCAUGCAUCUGUAUCUUAUUGUUUUCUAUGCUUAUCAAGGACUUCUCAAUGAGGACUUUUACUCCAAUGACUGGGUUGAAAUCACAUGCAUCUAGAAUUUUCAUCACAACAUCUUUGUCCAUCCCUUUAAAGAAGCAUGCAAUGUCAAGGAAAAUGGCUUUCUCAUUAUCCUCUAGGCCGUCAUAGCUUAUUUUAAGUAUUUCGAAUAUCUGUUUAUUAGGAGUUUGUUUCAGUUUAGCUAUUUCACUUUCCCAUUCAGGCACCUUUCUUCUGUACAAAAAGGAGCCCAACACAACAAGAGCUAAUGGAAGGCCUUUAGCAUAAUUUACAAAACAAAGUGAGAGUUUCACAUAAUCAUCUGGAGGAUGGGGUUUCCUAAAUGCGUUCCAACUAAAAAGCACAAGAGCAUCAUCAGAACAUAAUUCCUUAAUCUUGUAUACUCUUUCCACUCCAUGGACAACAAGCAGAUGUUCAUCCCUAGUUGUGAUAAUGAUUCUACUUCCUGCACCAAAACAAUGUAGUGCGGCUAAUUUUUUCAACUGUUCUACAUUAUCCACAUCAUCAAUAACAAUAAGAACCCUUCUACAGCAUAACCUCUCCUCUAUGCAAUUGAUUCCUCUGGCAAAGUUACCCACCAAUACAUGUUUAUCUCCUAAUAUCUCAAUAAGAAGGGUUUCUUGUAGCGUUUGCGCUGAAGUUUUUCUAACAUUUUCAAGAAAGCAACUGCCCUCAAAUUGAUUAGCAAUUCUGUUGUAAAUGGCUUUGGCAAGAGUAGUCUUGCCUAUUCCACCAGUUCCACAUAUCCCUACCAUUUGAACAUCUUCUAACCCAACGCUUAACAUAGAAAUCGCCUCUUGUACAUGGGAUUCCAUCCCAACAGGAUGUUCAGCAACAGGCAACAAUUUGCGUUUCAGUUUAACUGAGACAUUUUCAACAAUCCUCUGAAUAAAUUUACCCUCGUCCCUAUUAUCCAAAUGCCAUCCAGACAAUCUAGUAGCCUUAACUAGAGCUUCCCUCCACAACUUCAUCUUCUCCUCCGAAUACCCUUCAAGUUUAUCGAAUGCUCUGCCAAACCUGCCAGUCUGAUGCUCAACAUCUGCCGGAUCCACCUUGUAAAAGAUGGGAAAAACGACAUGUUGUUUUGAUUCAUUAUUACAAGCAAGCAUAGUAACCAAUUCAUCCAAGCAAUACGAAGAAGAAGCAUAGUCUUGAGAGAAAACGGCAAUGGAAAUCCUUGAUCCUUUGAUGGCAUCAAAAAUGGCACAAGUAAUCUCUUCUCCUCUAUCAAUCUUCCCAUCGAUGAAAGUGUUGAUUCCUUUGCAGCACAGAGCGUGAUACAGAUGGCUAGUAAAGUUUGUGCGAGUUUCUUUGCCUCUGAAGCUUAGGAAGACAUCGUACUUCCAUCGAAAAUUUUUUGAGGAAGGAGAAGAAGCAGCCAUGGAGGGCAGAGAUGCGUCCACUUCCUCCUCACAAUUCCAG